rnacentral:rRNA from 1 species
CCUACGGGAGGCAGCAGUAGGGAAUAUUGGGCAAUGGGCGAGAGCCUGACCCAGCCAUGCCGCGUGCCGGAUGAAGGCCUUCUGGGUUGUAAACGGCUUUUCUCAGGGAAGAAAAAGCCCAUGCGUGGGACACUGACGGUACCUGAGGAAUAAGCACCGGCUAACUCCGUGCCAGCAGCCGCGGUAAUACGGAGGGUGCAAGCGUUGUCCGGAUUUAUUGGGUUUAAAGGGUGCGUAGGCGGCCCGUUAAGUCCGGGGUGAAAGCCCACAGCUCAACUGUGGAACUGCCCUGGAUACUGGCGGGCUUGAGUCCAGACGAGGUUGGCGGAAUGGAUGGUGUAGCGGUGAAAUGCAUAGAUACCAUCCAGAACCCCGAUUGCGUAGGCAGCUGACUAGGCUGGUACUGACGCUGAGGCACGAAAGCGUGGGGAGCGAACAGGAUUAGAUACCCUGGUAGUCCACGCCGUAAACGAUGGAUACUCGCUGGUGGCGAUAGACAGUCACUGGCUUAGCGAAAGCGGUAAGUAUCCCACCUGGGGAGUACGCUCGCAAGAGUGAAACUCAAAGGAAUUGACGGCNGAGACGAGACGACGGACGACGACGAGGGAGGAGG